UUCCGGAAGAACAAAGCUACC
rnacentral:miRNA from 1 species